CACAGUUCAGGAUGUAGCCUGGGAUGUCCUGCCAGGUCGGGAUGGGAAACGCUGACUACGUGGCUGCCUUCCUGCACCUGCUGCUCCCACUGGCCUUUGAGGUGACUGCACAGAGGGCUCCCCCAGGGCAGCCGGGUGGGAGGGGGACUUCGUGCCUGGAGUGCGCCAGUGAAGGCAGGAGGAGGGUUAUGAGCUGCCCCGCUCCUGUGUGGCUGGGGAGGGUAUUCAGGAGGGGAUGGGAUGGGCCUGGCUCCAGCCCCUCUCUGUUGACCCUCCCCACCCCGGCCUGACCUGUAGUUUGACCCUGAGCUGGUGCUGGUCUCGGCAGGAUUUGACUCAGCCAUCGGGGACCCUGAGGUGAGGGCCUUGCCUGGCCAGGGAGGGCUUCUGGGGUCCUGGGGCCCAGGUCCCCCAUCACACAUGGCUCUGGUUCCAGGGGCAAAUGCAGGCCACGCCAGAGUGCUUCGCCCACCUCACACAGCUGCUGCAGGUGCUGGCCGGCGGCCGGGUCUGCGCCGUGCUGGAGGGCGGCUACCACCUGGAGUCACUGGCGGAGUCAGUGUGCAUGACAGUACAGACGCUGUUGGGUGACCCGGCUCCACCCCUGUCAGGGUCAAUGGUGCCAUGUCAGAGGUGCGAGGGGAGGUAGGGCAGGCGGGGCUGGGGUGUGAGGCCAGGUGUCACGACUGUUGUGUCUCCCCCACAGUGCCCUGGAGUCCAUCCAGAGUGCCCGUGCUGCCCAGGCCCCGCACUGGAAGAGCCUCCAGCUGCAAGGUCAGUGUGGCCGGGUGCUAGGCUGCAGGAUCCCACCUCGGGCUCCCGUGCAGUGGCUAUGACUCCGAACUGUCCCUAGAUGUGACCCCUGUGCUGAUGAGCCCCAGCAUUCUCUCCCCAGAGGAGAGGCCUCCACCUCUGCUGCCUGGGGGUCCAGUGUGUAAGGGAGCUGCAUCUGCACCGAGCUCCCUCCUGGACCAGCCGUGCCUCUGCCCUGCACCCUCUGUCCGCACCGCUGUUGCCCUGACAGCACCAGAUAUCACAUUGGUCCUGCCCCCUGACGUCAUCCAACAGGAAGGGUCAGCCCUAAGGGAGGA
rnacentral:sRNA from 1 species